GACGAACGCUGGCGGCGUGCUUAACACAUGCAAGUCGAACGGAAAGGCCCUGCUUUUGUGGGGUGCUCGAGUGGCGAACGGGUGAGUAACACGUGAGUAACCUGCCCUUGACUUUGGGAUAACUUCAGGAAACUGGGGCUAAUACCGGAUAGGAGCUCCUGCUGCAUGGUGGGGGUUGGAAAGUUUCGGCGGUUGGGGAUGGACUCGCGGCUUAUCAGCUUGUUGGUGGGGUAGUGGCUUACCAAGGCUUUGACGGGUAGCCGGCCUGAGAGGGUGACCGGCCACAUGGGGAGUGAGACAGGGCCGAGACUCCUAGGGGGGGGAGCAGGGGAAAAUAUUGCACAAGGGGCGGAAGCCUGGUGCAGCAGCGCCGCGUGCGAGAUGGGGGCUUUGGGGGUAUAAACCGCUUUCCCGUGAGACAAAGCGUGAGUGACGGUAAGGGGAAAAGAAGCACCGGCUAACUACG
rnacentral:rRNA from 1 species